AAAAACAUUCCUCUUUUCCCUUCACACUUUCACAGUCACAUGUUCCUCUUGCCCGAUCCCCUUUCUCUCUUUCAGUCUUCUCUACUCUCUCCGGUCACUCCAACAUUUCUGCCGCCGGCGCCGAAUAGCUCCCAUCAGCUUUCUUCCUUGAUUCUGUGCCUUGAGCUUGCUCGUCCUCACCUGCAGCCACCCCCACAUCUCGAUUCUCUGUUGCAGCCACAGGGUGCCCCACAGCUCGAUUCGCCGUUCCAGCCACAGUGUGACCUUCGACGGCGGUUGGUUUUUCUCCUCGUGUGCGUCCUCAGUCUCCUAGGCUGGUAAAUAGCGAUGGAGGGGUAGCAGGGCCCAAGCUGGAGCUGCGCAAGGGAGGAGGCGAGAUCAUCGAUCUGCGCGGUGUUGUUCCUGUCAGCGUUCGUGCAGGUGAUGUGGGCGUGGAUUUCGUCUCCCGCUGUCAGCUUUGAUCCAUCUUUAGUAUGAGGAUGGUGGAGACGUUUUCUGCCCCUUGAGCGCCAGACGCAUCCUACACAUCGGCGACAUUCUUCGAAGGUGGAAAGUCAAUCUUUCAAUGCAGGGAUCUCUGAAGUGCAUUUCAAAUUGAAAUAUUCUCCAACACGCGUCAUCUCUUGAUCUCAUUGUUUCGUAUUAGCACAGUGGAUUGGUCAUCACCUUUAUUUAUGUAUUUAAAAAGAAAGUGGCAGGCGACGGACGACUACAAAGAUCAAUGGCGAUGCGCCUGCUGUGCUUUGGACUGAGGAGAGUACCUUGCUCUGCUGCUUCAGACCUUGGCCGGCCUUGCUCAUCCAAAUGUAAAGGAGACCAACUUUGUGCCGAAAUCUUUAAUGUUAAAGAGGAUCUUAAGUUCCAAUCAUCACGCGAAGACACAAAUAUUGAGUAUUUUUUUAGUAGCAGCCGGCUGAAGCCAUAUCUACCUGAUUAAUGAGGCUGCAGCCAUCUGCACUGAUGAUCGAUGUCAUAUGGAAAUCAUGUGGGAAUAAGCAUGCGCUCUCCAAUCUCCAUGGACUCCAGUGCCUCGUCUGCCUCCAUCUGCACCCGCCGCUGCAGCGUGGCCCCGGCGUCUUACUCUCCGCUAUUGCUGCUGCCAUGGCGUCGUAAGCAUUUGUCUGCUGCUCAACUGCAGCGUACCACCACUUGAAGCGGCUGUAAGAGUCCUAGGGCAAAAUCCAUCCCCAUGCAAGCUUCCUCCACAGGGCAUGGUGGCGGCGUGCGGAAAAAGGAGUCGAAAACCUGGGCGAGGGAUCUUUUCCUCUUAUUUUUGUGUUUGUGAAAUCGUGUGGAUCCUGAGAAAUUGCAUGGAUCUGUGUAACGUGAAUGUAAUUUUUUUUUCUAUGUACGUGUAAGCUAAAAAGGAUUUAUGUACGUGUAUAUGCCAACUCACAUGCACAUAUGGGUCAUUUUUUGACAGAAUUGAGAGAUUGUUUAGAAUUGAGAGAUUGUUUCUGA